GACGAACGCUGGCGGCGUGCCUAAUACAUGCAAGUCGAGCGAAUCAAUGGGAGCUUGCUCCCUGAGAUUAGCGGCGGACGGGUGAGUAACACGUGGGUAACCUGCCUGUAAGACUGGGAUAACUUCGGGAAACCGGAGCUAAUACCGGAUACAUUCUUUUCUCGCAUGAGGAGAGAUGGAAAGAUGGUUCUGCUAUCACUUACAGAUGGACCCGCGGCGCAUUAGCUAGUUGGUGAGGUAAUGGCUCACCAAGGCGACGAUGCGUAGCCGACCUGAGAGGCGGAGCGGCCACACUGGGACGGAGACACGGCCCAGACACCGACGGGAGGCAGCAGUAGGGAAUCUUCCGCAAUGGACGAAAGUCUGACGGAGCAACGCCGCGUGAGCGAAGAAGGCCUUCGGGUCGUAAAGCUCUGUUGUUAGGGAAGAACAAGUACGAGAGUAACUGCUCGUACCUUGACGGUACCUAACCAGAAAGCCACGGCUAACUACGUGCCAGCCGCCGCAGUAAAAC
rnacentral:rRNA from 1 species